rnacentral:precursor_RNA from 14 species
GCCAAAAAAAGGAUAGGCUGUCUGGUUGCGGCUGGUGAAAAGGAACCACAUCAACCCAGAAAAAGGAUUUGGUCCCCUUCAACCAGCCGCAACUGGUCAGGAUUGCAAUAGGUCACUGG